AUGGGGACGGUCUUCAUCGGCGACCCGACGGCCAAGCUCCCCGACGACCUCCUUGUCGAGGUCAUCUCCCGCGUGCCGUACAAGUCCACCUGCUGCUGCAAGUGCGUCUCCACGCGCUGGCGGGACCUCAUCUCCCACCCCGACCACCGCGACAAGCUUCCCCGGUCGACCCUCGCCGGCUUCUUCCACGCAACCUCCGCCACGGAACACCAUCGACAUCUUUCUCAUGGUUACUUAAGCGUCUCAGGGAACUGGUGCCGUCAUGACGCUGCCCUCUCGUUCCUGCCCAAAUAUGAGAGCCUUGAAAUCUUGGAUUGCUGCAACGGCCUCCUCCUCUGCCGAGGCCGGAAGUCGACUGACCCCAAGACGCUGGAUUACGUGGUGUGCAAUCCGGCCACCGAGAAAUGGGUGACUGUGCCGGCCACCAAGUGGUCUUGGGAUAUGAGCAGCGCUUGCCUGGGAUUCGACCCGGCCGUGUCCUCACAUUUCUAUGUGUUCGAGUUGGUACCUGCCCUUGCUUGGAAUCCGAUUAAGAGGGAUGAUUAUAGCAUUGAAGCGGUGGGGAUCUACUCUUCCAAAGUUGGAGUCUGGACACACCCAAUUGUUUUGGACGACCCAAUUGAGAUACUCUACUGA
rnacentral:rRNA from 1 species